AGUGAACGCUGGCGGCAGGCUUUACACAUGCAAGUCGAACGGCAGCGCAGUCUUCGCCCGGUCUUCGGGGUGCGGAGUGGUGGGUAGUUCAGCGAAACGUCCCCAUUUAUUUUUUAGAGCCCGGCAACAUCCGGAUUAUUACCCCAAUCCACCUGACGGUGUAAGCGGGGAACCGAAAGACCUCCCGCCCUUGCACCGUCCGAUGUCGGAUUAGCUAGUUGGUGGGGUAAAGGCUUACCAAGGCGACGAUCCGUAGCUGGUCUGAGAGGAUGAUCAGCCACACUGGGACUGAGACACGGCCCAGACUCCUACGGGAGGCAGCAGUGGGGAAUUUUGGACAAUGGGGGCAAGCCUGAUCCAGCCAUGCCGCGUGAGGGAAGAAGGCCUUCGGGUUGUAAAGCGCUUUUGUUGGGGAAGAAAUCCUGUGGGUUAAUACCCCGGGGGGCUGACGGUACCGGAAGAAUAAGCACCGGCUAACUACGUG
rnacentral:rRNA from 1 species